UGGCGCCUUUCCUAAUUUACAGCGGGGAAAUUUUGGCGGGUCUUGAAAAAUGAAAGGAUAUUUUCGAUAAUUUCAUUACAUCCACCACCGCUUUCUAGGGUUUUCUUUAUGAUCAGCUAAAGAAGAAUAUCAUUUUUCAGGUCUCAUCUUCUUCCCGCCUCCAUUUCCUUCUCUCUCUCUAUGUCGGUUUACACUCUUCGUCGUCACUCGACCUGGCUCUCUCUCCACUUUGUCUACUGCAUUUUCUAGUCAUUACAACUGUGGAUCUCGCUCGCUCGCUCGGUUCCUAUAGAUCUGUUUGUUUCCACCACAAGAUACAUACAUACAUACAUACUAGCGGUUUGUUUUCAGAUCUAGAUAUCCAAUAUAAAUGAUGGAUCGGAGUAAGAAAUUGGAUAGAUCGGAGACGAGUGAUGAUUCGUCGGAAGGAAUCGAUGUUAAGACUUGCGUUGAUUGCGGUACAUCGAGAACACCUCUUUGGAGAAGUGGACCAGCUGGACCUAAGGUAAUUCAAUUUCAUCAUAUUCAAUCAUCUUCCAUUUUAUUUAUUUAUUUAAUUCGAUUGGAUCCGAUCUGUUGCUGCAGUCACUCUGUAAUGCUUGCGGAAUAAAGAGUAGGAAAAAGAGAAGAUGUUCUUAUUCAUCUUCUUCUUCUGUUCAAGGAGGAUUGAAUGAUAAUAGAAAGAAGAUUACUCGAAAGAGAUCUACAACUUCUACUGUGGAGAAGUUAAGGAGGAGAAAGAUAUUAAUGGGGGAGGAGGAAGAACAGGCGGCCUUCUUGUUAAUGGCCUUAUCAUGUGGAACUGUUUAUGCUUAUUAAUUCCCCCAUCACCAUCACCCCCAUUGUAGCCUAACAAGUUCAUUUUUGCAAUUUCAAGAUUAUUCAUUUUUAUUAGUCAUUUUAAUAUUAUAUAGCUUGUCUUGUUAUUUUUUUUUAAUUAUUAAUAAAUUAAUAUUUAUAU